UACAGAGGUCUCAAGCGUUGUCCGGAUUUAUUGGGCGUAAAGAGCGUGUAGGCGGUUAGGUAGGUCCGUUGUGAAAACUCGAGGCUCAACCUCGAGACGCCGAUGGAAACCAUCUGACUAGAGUCCGGAAGAGGAGAGUGGAAUUCCUGGUGUAGCGGUGAAAUGCGCAGAUAUCAGGAAGAACACCCGUGGCUAAGGCGGCUCUCUAGUACGGUACUGACGCUGAGACGCGAAAGCGUGGGGAGCGAACAGG
rnacentral:rRNA from 1 species